rnacentral:rRNA from 1 species
UUCAAAGAGUGCGUAAUAGCUCACUGGUCGAGUGAUCCUGCGCCGAAGAUUUCCGGGGCUAAAACUUACUACCGAAGCUACGGCAUCAGUAAUGAUGGGUAGGGGAGCUUCCCAUACGGGUUGAAGCAUGACCGUAAGGACAUGUGGACAGUAUGGGAGUGAGAAUGUUGGCAUGAGUAGCGAGAUGUGGGUGAGAAUCCCACAGGCCGUAAACCCAAGGUUUCCAGGGGAAGGUUCGUCCGCCCUGGGUUAGUCGGGACCUAAGCUGAGGCCGAAAGGCGUAGGUGAUGGACAACAGGUUGAUAUUCCUGUACUACCGAUAACCGUUUGAGAGAAGGGAUGACACAGUAGGAUAAGCUAAGCACACUGUUGGUUAUGUGUGCCCAAGCAUUGAGGCAGUCAAAGUAGGCAAAUCCGCUUUGAUAAUGCUGGGAUGUGAUGGGGAGCGAAAUUUAGUAGCGAAGUAGCUGAUUUCACACUGUCAAGAAAAGUCUCUAUCGAGGUUAAAGGUACCCGUACCGCAAACCGACACAGGUGGGUGAGGAGAGUAUCCUAAGGCCAGCGAGAGAACUGUUGUUAAGGAACUCGGCAAAAUGACCCCGUAACUUAGGGAUAAGGGGUGCCACCAUCAGGUGGCCGCAGAGAAUAGGCCCAAGCGACUGUUUACCAAAAACAUAGGUUUCUGCUAAGUCGCAAGACGAUGUAUAGGAGCUGACGCCUGCCCGGUGCUGGAAGGUUAAGGGGAUCUGUUAGAGCAAUCGAAGCAGUGAACUUAAGCCCCAGUAAACGGCGGCCGUAACUAUAACGGUCCUAAGGUAGCGAAAUUCCUUGUCGGGUAAGUUCCGACCCGCACGAAAGGCGUAACGAUUUGGGCACUGUCUCAACAACAGACUCGGUGAAAUUGUAAUUCCGGUGAAGAUGCCGGAUACCUGCGACAGGACGGAAAGACCCCAUGGAGCUUUACUGUAGCUUGACAUUGGGUCUUGGUACUACAUGUACAGGAUAGGUGGGAGGCUUUGAAACCAGGACGCCAGUUUUGGCGGAGCCAUCCUUGGGAUACCACCCUUGUAGUACUGGG